UGCAAGUCGAACGAUGAUCCCAGCUUGCUGGGGGAUUAGUGGCGAACGGGUGAGUAACACGUGAGUAACCUGCCCUUGACUCUGGGAUAAGCCUGGGAAACUGGGUCUAAUACCGGAUAUGACGCUCUGACGCAUGUCAGGUGGUGGAAAGCUUUUGUGGUUUUGGAUGGACUCGCGGCCUAUCAGCUUGUUGGUGGGGUAAUGGCCUACCAAGGCGACAACGGGUAGCCGGCCUGAGAGGGUGACCGGCCACACUGGGACUGAGACACGGCCCAGACUCCUACGGGAGGCAGCAGUGGGGAAUAUUGCACAAUGGGCGCAAGCCUGAUGCAGCGACGCCGCGUGAGGGAUGACGGCCUUCGGGUUGUAAACCUCUUUCAGUAGGGAAGAAGCGAAAGUGACGGUACCUGCAGAAGAAGCGCCGGCUAA
rnacentral:rRNA from 1 species